rnacentral:rRNA from 1 species
AUUGAACGCUGGCGGCAUGCCUUACACAUGCAAGUCGAACGGUAACAGGUCUUCGGAUGCUGACGAGUGGCGAACGGGUGAGUAAUACAUCGGAACGUGCCCAAUCGUGGGGGAUAACGUAGCGAAAGUUACGCUAAUACCGCAUACGAUCUACGGAUGAAAGCGGGGGAUCGCAAGACCUCGCGCGAGUGGAGCGGCCGAUGUCAGAUUAGGUAGUUGGUGGGGUAAAGGCUCACCAAGCCAACGAUCUGUAGCUGGUCUGAGAGGACGACCAGCCACACUGGAACUGAGACACGGUCCAGACUCCUACGGGAGGCAGCAGUGGGGAAUUUUGGACAAUGGGCGCAAGCCUGAUCCAGCCAUUCCGCGUGCAGGAUGAAGGCCUUCGGGUUGUAAACUGCUUUGUACGGACGAAACGGACGAGCUCUAAUACAGUUGCUAAUGACGGUACGUAAGAAUAAGACACCGGCUAACUACGUAGCCAGCAGCCGAC